UUGUUGUUUUCAGCAAUUACUUGAUUGAGAUGAAAACAGGAAGACAAAACAACAAAUUGGUUUUAAGAAUUCUUUGAUCUUCGACACAAAGCCUACAAGUGAUGGUCGGAUAAACCAGGUUAAAUUUCAAUUGACACCGGAGAUAAAAUA